CAGACAGAGAGGUGCUUGUGCUCCAACUGUUGGAGGUAAUUAACAGCCCGAACUGUCAGAAGGUGACAGCCGGCAGAAAGUUCCUGCCCUGGGGUCACAGCUGGAUUCCGGCAACUUGCUCCUUGAUUUACCAGUAAAACUAAUAAUCAGGAGGGGUGUAUUCCUGCCUGCAGACUUUGGGAAAUCACCACAGGGAGUCAGACUACUGAAGCACAGUCAAGCAAUAAAUCUACCAGAUACAAAUUCACAGGGAAAGUAGAGAGCAGUUCAACCAGAGGUAAAUUUGCAACAGGACUGACUUCAGAUGGUAUCGAAGCUUUGCAAGAAAAAUAAAACAGUUCUGUCUGAUCACAUCUCAUCAGCAAAUGUCUCACUUACAUUCAAGUGUUCUGCAAUUCAAAGUUGGUUCUGCAGUCUCACAGCAUGGAGUCAUCUUGUAUUUAUCAGGAGUGAACUACUGCCAGCAGCUGAAAGGUUUGUGGUUUUAGUGAGCGUACUUCAAUGUUGCCCAUCAUGUAUUCACUCUCAGGGUGGUGCACAUUUUUCUCCCUUCUCUUGAAAUAACUGUUUCAGGUCAAAUCAAAAGACUUUGUGUCAAAGCUGAUUUCUUGCAUUAUAAUUUACAGUAAAUAGAUUUUUAAAAACAAAGCAUAUUUAAGUUUAAAAAUACAAACAAACAGAAUUUGAAUUGAGAUUAUCAAAUGUUUGUUUUUAUUUAAGAAUAUUUUUUCAAAAAAAUACAUUUUCUUAGAUAAAAAAAGAAAAAAGCAUCAUUGUAGGGAUUUUUUAGAAAACAAUCAAGUCUGCUAGUAAUAGCAUACUGGCAAAUGCUGAUUUUUCAUGUUACUAUUGUUUUAAAGCACAAUGUUUUCCUCUAUUUCUCUUAGAAACAAGCAAACAAACAAACAAAGAAAAAAAACCUCUGGAAAUUUACUUGACCCAUGAAGAUAUUCUAGUUGUAAUAAGUUAUUCUGUUUCAGAAGUGAGAGGCAGUGUUCCUACAGUUAGCAACAAACCUGUCAGGGCUCUUCAGAACAUUGUUUUUACUGUAUUGACUCAAUACAGCUAUAACCUUGUGAAACUCAAGAACAACCUUUUUAAAAUGAAUUAUAGCCAUUGGCCCAAUGAAUCCAUUGCUCUGUAAAGCAAAACACAGACAGUUAUUUUCACUUGCUUUACAGUGUUCUUCAACCUAUUUCAAAUGGUGAGACAUAUUUUCUCUCUGAUCUUGCUGAAUCCAGAAUAGAAGAAAAUUUGGGGGAAAAAAUCUCAGAGAAGACAUCUGUAUGUUAAAAUGUUGUUCAAACAGAUAUUGUUUCAGAGAGAAGUGUUUUCAGAGACACUGCUUCUCAAAUUGUUAAACAGCCAUUUUUGUGAAGUCUCUUGUGAAUCCCAUUUGCUUCUGUUAAUUCCAGGAGCAAAUUAUGCCCUAUGCCUUCAAGGAUCCCUGUUUUAGUUCUCAGUGCAGAAGCAGGACCACAUCUUCCUUUUGUCCACAUCCAUAUAUUCCACUGAAAUUAAAUAAAGAUGUCAUUUCAGUGAGCUUUGGACGAGCCUUCAAAGGCAUUUUUAAACAUCGGAAUACUAUAUAUACCAAUUGAAUUAGUGGUUAAAAAAAAAAGUUCCCACACUGUUUGUAGAAGCUAAGGUAUAUGUAUGUUGUAGAAGAACAAUCAAGAGGAAAAAGAAAUAUUCAGUUUUAUGAUAUUUGCUACCAAAAAGACAUACAGAGUAGGACAAUUAGCUUGCUAGGGAUCUGCUUAGAAGAAAUGAGUUCAAGGAACUGCAUUACCAGAGUUUUCCUGUGUGAUCUUGCACCAGUCUGCAUUUCUGCAGGAAAAAAGUAUUUUCAUAUUUAUAAAGUGAAAUGUUUGAAAAUAAAAAAUAAUAGUGGCACGCUCUGAUUCUUUGUUAAAAUAAGUAUCUAGAUAGGGAGAAAUAUAAAUACACAUAAGACAUCAAUCUACAUCAGCCAGACAGCCUCUAAUACUGAAAAAUAACUGUCUCACCAGCUUCAUUGCUGAUGCCAAAGCACCGGGAGGGAAGCAUCUUCCUUUCUCUUCAGAGGAAGCAGCAAGCCUCAUGUCAGCUAUACAUACCAACACCAUCCUCUGUACUUUUCUAAGGUGGGAGUUUAAAGGCUCACAACUCCUACCUUUGCGCAAGAUCCACUUUUUCUCUCUUCGCUAAGGAAGCCUUGAGGGAUUUCUGGAAUAAUAUAUAAUACUCAGAAAACAACUUGUGAAUUGAUUUUCUUGUGCACAUCAACCUUUUUUAAGGAAAAGGGUUGUAAACAUUAAAUUCAAAUACAGUGUGAAAUUAAGCAUGACCCUUGUCACAAUAUCAAGUGCACAACAGUGACAACAUUUGUAAUGAAAUAUUGGGAUCCUCAUCUCAUUACUUGUUAAACAUCGAGACUCAGAUCACAAGCAUGGAAUAUCACAAGCAUAUAGGUCUUAGUCACAUAGAGUAGGACAGUACACUCCUGAUUGUUACCACUGGUAGCAAUUUUGUUAUUUAUUCCUAAUGUUUAGGUAAGUGCCUUAGUAUAUUGCUGAAAUGAAGGCAAAAGAUGACUCAGUAAAAGCUG